CCUACGGGGGGCAGCAGUCGAGAAUCAUUCACAAUGGGGGAAACCCUGAUGGUGCGACGCCGCGUGGGGGAAUGAAGGUCUUCGGAUUGUAAACCCCUGUCAUGUGGGAGCAAAUUAAAAAGAUAGUACCACAAGAGGAAGAGACGGCUAACUCUGUGCCAGCAGCCGCGGGAAUACAGAGGUCUCAAGCGUUGUUCGGAAUCACUGGGCGUAAAGCGUGCGUAGGCUGUUUCGUAAGUCGUGUGUGAAAGGCGCGGGCUCAACCCGCGGACGGCACAUGAUACUGCGAGACUAGAGUAAUGGAGGGGGAACCGGAAUGCUCGGUGUAGCAGUGAAAUGCGUAGAUAUCGAGAGGAACACUCGUGGCGAAGGCGGGUUCCUGGACAUUAACUGACGCUGAGGCACGAAGGCCAGGGGAGCGAAAGGGAUUAGAUACCCUAGUAGUC
rnacentral:rRNA from 1 species